AUGAAAAUGCGUAUAAAUAGUAGCCUACGCCGAAUAAAAAUAAAAACUCGUGGUACUGAUAAGGAAAAAAUGGUUUUUGGUGUGUAUGCUGUGAGGAGCAUUCUGCGGGCACAGUUUUCAAGAGGAAUACUUCAGCUGCAAAAGGCUGCAGUUUGGAAAAACCUUCAGGUUAAUGCUGCUGAAAUGGCGACUCCAACUGGCGGAUCAUACUGUUAUUCAGGAGGCAGGCACGCUGUGAGUUUAAAAGUACCAUCUCCUUAACCCUGCAUUCUCACAUGACACACUAUCACAGUUCUAUAAUUCAAAUCCCUUAACGGAAUUUUUAUGCUGCAACAAUUAGGGUAAGAAGAACUGGCAACACUUCCUAUAAUAUCUCACAUACUUUUAAUUUGUAAGAGGAAUGACAUCAGUGUCUAUAUUAGCCAUUUAUAGUCUGUCUUCCCCUUAUCCCUAGGUUGCAGUAAUCAGCUGAUCCAGUCAGUAUCCAGACCAGACGAUGGACCUGCACCCAGGAACGACCACAACACAUCCCUGAAUGUCACUAGAUGACAGAUCCCUGUGAAGACCUCAUUGAUGGCUCCAGCACAGAUCCUCAGCAGAGACUACGAGAACCAGACAAGCCCUCUGCACAGACCAGCUUCACCUGCUGGCAUGAUGUUUCUUCAAGCAGAAGAAGCUGGAUGAAACAUUCUGAAUGAUAUCAAUCCACAAUCUGAUUUGUGAUGCAGCCUGGAAUAAUCACACCACGUUCAUUUGUUUGGCCCGAGGAGAACUGGUUUCCUGACUGAGUCUGGUCUUGAUAGGGUUUGGGUUCUUUGCCCCUGUUGCCUUUCUUCUUGCUUAAUUGAAGACACCCAAUAUUCAGCAAUAUUAUUAAUUUGACUGCACUGACAACAUUGGAUAAGAACUUAACUGAGCUGAAAUAUGCAUAACUGAUCGAUAAUGCAUAACUGAAGUAUACAUAACGUUUUUAUAUAUUUANCAGUAUUUGGUAGUUUUAUAAUUAAAGCCUUUAAUCUUUUUAAAUGGUUAUAUUUGUGUUUCACUGCUGAAUUACAUUUAGCAGUUUCUGGGCUACAUUUGGCCUGGGGACCAAGCCGAGUCUCAGCCAGAUCUGAGAUCUCUCACUUCCAAAACUGUGGCAACAAAGAUGGAAACAUAACUCAUGCAUUUAAAAAUUGGACACAAAUAAUCAGUGACGAGUUCAUCGCUCAACAAUAAACCGUGAGAAAACAUGCUCUAAUAAACUUAC
ensembl:lncRNA